GAUGAAGAACGUAGCGAAAUGCGAUAAGUAAUGCGAAUUGCAGAAUUUCCGUGAGUCAUCGAAUCUUUGAACGCACAUUGCGCCCACUGGUAUUCCGGCGGGCAUGCCUGUUCGAGCGUCAUUAUCCUCCCUCAAACCUCUGUGUUUGGUGUUGGGCCGCGUUGGUGUCAAAGCCAACUGGUCUCAAAGACAAUGACGGCGUCCGUGGGACCCUCUUCGCAACGAGCAUCUUCGGAAGCACGCGUCGAGUCUAAAGGACCUUCCGGGCCGGUCUACCCUUUAUCUUUCUAAGGUUGACCUCGGAUCAGGUAGGAAUACCCGCUGAACUUAAGCAUAUCAAUAAGCGGAGGA
rnacentral:misc_RNA from 1 species